UCGGGAAUUUUGGGCAAUGGGGGAAACCCUGACCCAGCAACGCCGCGUGAGGGAUGAAGGCCUUCGGGUCGUAAACCUCUGUCGGGAGGGAAGAACUGUCCUUGGUCCAAUAGGCCUUGGGCUUGACGGUACCUCCAAAGGAAGCACCGGCUAACUCCGUGCCAGCAGCCGCGGUAAUACGGUGGGUGCAAGCGUUGUUCGGAAUUACUGGGUGUAAAGCGCGUGUAGGCGGUCCGACAAGUCGGAUGUGAAAGCCCGAGGCUCAACCUCGGAACUGCAUUCGAAACUGUCGGACUAGAGUCCCGGAGAGGGUGGUGGAAUUCCCAGUGUAGAGGUGAAAUUCGUAGAUAUUGGGAGGAAAACCGGUGGCGAAGGCGACCACCUGGACGGUGACUGACGCUGAGACGCGAAAGCGUGGGGAGCAAACAGGAUUAGAUACCCCUGUAGUCC
rnacentral:rRNA from 1 species